ACUACAAUAACUAGAGAGCUUCCCAUACUGGUUAAACAACGUUAAUGCUACCUGCUAAUGAAAUGAUGUUUACAGUGUAGAUUACAUGCUUUUGUCAAUUGUCUAUGCUACAAUACUUUCAUUCUCUGAAACAAAGCUCCUCCGGUAAAUUAAAUUGAAGGUGACACAACAAUGUGCGAAUUGUAAAAAGGCGUCUAAAUGUAUUAUUGCUAGAUAACUGUUGAAAAAUGUUCAUGUAGCACUCGUCCGAGCGUUUAAAAACAACUAAUACUUC